UACGGGGGGGGCAAGCGUUGUUCGGAAUUACUGGGCGUAAAGGGCUCGUAGGCGGCCAACUAAGUCGGAUGUGAAAUCCCCAGGCUCAACUUGGGAACUGCAUCCGAUACUGGAUGGCUUGAAUUCGGGAGAGGGAUGCAGAAUUCCAGGUGUAGCGGUGAAAUGCGUAGAUAUCUGGAGGAAUACCGGUGGCGAAGGCGGCAUCCUGGACCAAUAUUGACGCUGAGGAGCGAAAGCCAGGGGAGCAAACGGG
rnacentral:rRNA from 1 species